UUACAGACGAAGAGACGGACGUCGGCCAUCCCGGGAUCCGGGCUUUAUACUUAUUUGUGCCUCAACUCUAGGGUUGCCUACACUGUGGAGGCAGGCAGGAUGGCCACCCUCUGCUUCAUGGAAACAGGCGAGGAGAGGCUGUCACUUACCCCAGGCCACUGGCAAGGACAGGAAGUGAAGGUGAGACAGAAACAGAGAUGGAGAUGGAGCUGCGUGGCACUGGAGGUGGUAGCUGGUGCCGUGGUUUCCAAUGAGACUGUCUGGAGUGGCUGGGGACGUGCCAGCGCCCAGAGCACAGGAGCAGCACCAGGAUGAGGCAGGAAACCAGCGAGUCUGGUGCUUAAACUACCUGGUACUCAGUAACACUCAAGACCUGAGCGUUGAGAUGGUAAUAACAAACAGGGGUUGAACUGAGCAGAAUUAAUCAGGAGAGGAGAGCUGAUGAUGGACACCGUCUGAUGCCUGCACCAGCACAUCCCCUUUCUUCCUAGUCCCUCCCCACUGCCGUGCAGAAGGGGCUCCAGAGGCUUCUGAUGACUGUGGGGCAGGCAGGGCAGCUGACUCUUGCUCUGCACCCGGGCUGCUGCCAUUCCUCCCACAGGAGAUUUGCCAGUCAGCACAGGCCCCACAGAGAUCCCUUGCUCUUCUUUCCCCUGGGGGUGGGGAGCUGAGGAGGGUGGGAAGGGUGGGGGUGGGGUGCAUCUUAGCCUCCCUGGCUCAUCGGUGGGCAGCCCCACCAUAGUCAGGCUCUUUUCCUGAUCUAAUUAGCAUCACUGAGAAUUAAACUACACAGCCCUGAAGUGAGCCUGCUUCCCCAAGAGCCUUCCAGAAUUAACCCUGAGUACAGGUGAAACCUUUCCGUGCUUCAGGGCCUGGAGUUCGGGAGGCACUAACCAGAGACGGGAGCUGCAACUGCUGCCUCUGAUUAUGCAAUGUGUGUUCUCAAGCAAGGGGAAGAGAUGAGGAGAGACGGGAGGGUGGGAGAGGAGAGGAGAGGAGGGGACUUAGAAUAGAAUCCACCCUUCCAAUCCCACAAAUAAAAUCGAUUAGCAACA